rnacentral:misc_RNA from 1 species
GGGGUGUCCUCCACGCACAAGGUUCUUUGCUUUAGGAGGGCCGAGGGAAGAUCAUCAAGCAUAUGCAGCCUACCUGCCAAUUUUUGCAGAGGCUGUUUCCAUGGAUCAAAUGCAUGACGGCAUGACCUUUUGGUCACAACGGAGUAAAGAGAAUUGGGGGGAGGGGGUAAUAACCAAUGAUACCUUGUUUCCCAAAAUGCUGGAAU